rnacentral:tRNA from 2 species
GCGGGAUUGGUAUAACGGUCGUGCCCAGCCUUCCCAAGGCUGUGAAACGAGUUCGACUCUCGUAUCCCGCU